AGGGAAGACGGGGAGGGGGAGGCGCUGGGGUGAGGUCGAGGCCCGGCCGUCGGGGAGCGCAGACCCGCGUCUGCACGAGAGUCGGAGGGCCGAAGGAAAGGAGGAAGAGCAAAGCUGGCAGGGGGCGCCGCAGGGUUGAAGUCCUUCUGCCGCGAGGGAGUUGGCGGUCACGCCUGCGGCUGACGGGGCGUCUCCGCUGGCCUUUCUCAGGCCAGAGCAAAUGCAUCUGUUGAGCGAAGCCGGCAGGCCGACGCUGCGAAGCUCUCCUCCGGCCGCUGAGGGCAGGGAGGGUUGCCACCGUCACCCAGAACAGGGUGUGAGGAUGAACCUUUGGGCUACGACUAAUGACAUGGAGCAAACAUGACCAUGGAGCUUUCCACAAUGUUGACUGCUAGUUGACCUGGAGACUUUCCCUGUUGUGAACACGGAGGACUGUGCUGCAAUGGUGCUGGGGAGAAGAAACCUACUCCCUCUUCCCUGUGAUAACCCUUCACACAUGGGAAGAUUGCUGAUGGCAAACCUAGAUAGCAUAAUAAAAAGCAGAGACAUCACC